UGCUGAGAAUAAAAUCACAUUAUAUAUAUGUUUCAAUGUUUGACAAAUAUUUAAUUUCGAGAGUAGAGUUUAGAUAGAAUCAUUAUCAUAAAGUAUACUAACCAAAAGGUUGCAAUCAAUUAGAAAUGAUAUGUCUAAGGUGGUUUCUGAGUUACUCCUUCUAAUCAUAUUUAAAUGCCAUCAUGAUCUUUUUCUAACAUUGAUUAUUACAUAGCUCAAAGUCUAUAUUAUUAUUAGUCAUGUUCAAUUAAGAACACCUUUUACUUUAUUGGUCUUAAAAUGAUACUAUAUCUUACAAGUAUGUAUUAAUAUAGGGUGGUGGUCCUGAUUGGAAAGUUCCAUUGGGAAGAAGAGAUAGUUUAACAGCAAACCGAAACCUUGCAAAUCAAAACCUUCCAGCUCCAUUCUUCAACCUAUCUCGACUUAAAUCUGCCUUUGCUGUUCAAGGUCUUGACACCACUGAUCUAGUUGCACUCUCAGGUAAGAAUUUUUUUCCCAAUUAAAUUCAUCCUAUAUGUUGCAACAAUUAAAAUAAUAAGAAUAAUAAAUAAGGAAUUUCUUGAAAUUCAGGGUAAGGUAAUAUAUUAGAUUCAAAGGGAUAUAUUAUUAAUGAAACCAUAAAUUAACAUUACUCUAGGAAAAAGAAAGUCCAUGAUGGAUUGAUUAGUAUAUGAUUCACACAAGAUUCAAUUUCAGGUGCUCAUACAUUCGGCAGAGCUCACUGCAAUUUCAUUCUUGACCGAUUGUACAAUUUCAGUGGAACUGGCAAACCUGAUCCAACUCUUGACACAACUUACUUACAACAAUUGCGCCAAAUAUGCCCCAAUGGUGGACCUAACAACCUUGUCAAUUUUGACCCUGUCACUCCUGAUAAAAUUGACAGGGUCUACUUCUCCAAUCUUCAGGUUAAGAAGGGCUUGCUUCAGAGUGAUCAAGAGCUGUUCUCGACACCUGGUGCCGAUACCAUCCCCAUUGUCAACAGGUUCAGCAGUGACCAGAAAGUUUUCUUUGACGCCUUUGAGGCUUCAAUGAUUAAGAUGGGUAACAUUGGUGUGCUCACUGGGAAGAAAGGAGAAAUCAGAAAACAUUGUAACUUUGUUAACAAGAAAUCUGUUGAAGUUGAUAUUGCUAGUGUGGCCUCAGAAGAAUCAUCAACAGAGGGUAUGGUUACCUCAAUCUAAAUGGAUUAGGAUGAAUAGUUUUCACUUAAAAUGGUGUGAUUAGAGACCACAAAUAAAGAAGCUAUAGGCACAUUCAUGCCAUGUGCCCGCCACUACUUGUUGUGUACUGUGUUUGUGUUACACUUUCUUUUUUUAAUUUUGAAUCAUGCAGUGUUCAUAACCAAUUUCUUACUGAGCCCCAAGUUUUGAAAAAGAUCCUGAGACUAAAAUAUUAUCAAUCAUGUGUAUAUUAAUGUGGCAUAACUAAAAAGGUAAGCUAUUGAAAAAGUAGCAGGCAAUAUUUUAUUUAUAAUGAACCAUUAUUAAUUUAUGAUUAAUUAGUUAAGUGUUUCAUUAACUAUAAAUUAUAUUUUUCCAUUAAUUGGGCUUAUAUAUAGACCAGAUUGUCAUGCAUCUAAUAGUGAUACCAGCUUAAAAGAAAUCUUCAUAGGUGGACCUACAUUUUCUUUUUCUUUAUAUAAGAGAAAUGACCGAAAUAUUUCAUCUGGAUUUUUUCAAAAAAAUAAUAAUUAACUGUUAGUUCGCAUUUAAUCCAAAAUGUUUCCUUGACCAUUCACUUCAUGUGUAAAAAAGAAGAAUAAGCUAUUGUUAAGUUUAGUUCACUAAUUAUAUACUUCGAAUUUUAUAAUUAUUAUAAUUAAAAAUAAAUCUCAACAAGAAAUAAUCCUUUGAUAUAUAUAUAUAUAUAUAUAUAUAUAUAUAUAUAUAUAUAUAUAGAUAUAAUCCGUAAAAAUCAAAGAUAAGAUACUAAAGAGUUUAAAAUAAUUUAUCUCUAUGUUCAACCUAUUUGGUAUAUAUAAUCAUUUGAAGCUCUUCUUUUGUAUUAUUUAUAUAAAGAAAGGUGGGUAAGGAUGAUAUUUAUAUUUCACAAGGACGUCUUUUAAUCUCACUACCCAUGUAGUCACUUUAUUAGUGAACAAUCCGUAAGAACUACUGUAAGUAUUCGUGGAGCCUUAAGAUAUAUCUUAUUCCUAAUGAACACUUAGUCAUAAUAUUAUUAUAGGUAUUUUUAUUACAACAUUUUAUUGGUUUGAGUGAAAUUGAGUUAAAAUAUUUAAGUAUAUGAUUUGAAGUUUAUAUCUUAUAAAUGAAAAAGUAUGAUUAAAAAGAAAGAUUUUAUUAAGGAUAAUUAGUCAAAUUUUAUUUAUGAUUGAUAAAAUCGAUAAAUUUUCAUAUCUAUAUCAAGGUAAAAAUAAAGAAAAAAAGAAAUUAUAAGUGACUUUACCUUUUAAAGGCGCCAAUAAUAGUGUACAAGAAAGUAAGCAAGACAAAAUUAAAAGGAAGAUAAGUCCAAGCCACAAACAGCAAAAUGAAUAAUGGGUGGAAAAAUUGAAAAGUCUUUAGACUAACCCCACACAACUUGCCAACACGGUGUUAGGGCUUGCAAAGCACCACUUACUUCAAUACAACAUAAUUGUUGAUAACAGUCCACCAUGUUUUCUAAUGACGUAAAUGGCAAUGAAAUUUAUAUAAACAAAUCCUGGUCGUGUGCCGCCCACGUGUCAUUUCAGCAGGACCACUUGAAUUUUUAAUAUAACAUACGAACAUUAAUUUCAAUUGGUGGCAAUCAGCAAUUUUGGCCUUUGCUUUUGCGGGUUCCACACAUCACACUAGCCACUGUGAACAUUAAUUUCAAUUGGUGAAAACUGACAACUUACAACUAUUAACUCGGUAAUAUUUUAAGGAUUUUUUUUACAUGAAGGAAAAAUGUUACAUUUUUCAAUAUUUAUUCUUUUAUAAAAUUUAUCUUAUUAGAUGAAAUUUAUGUGAUUUCCAUUAAAUGUAUGAGUUAUUUUUUUAUAUUUUUAAAUUAAUGAAACUUGGUAAAUUUUAAUUCAUAAUUUUGAUUUUGUAUUUUUUUUUUAAUUUUGAUUCUUCUAUUUUUUUUUUAAAUUAUUAUUUUGAUUUAAUUUUUAAUUUUGGGGUAAUUCCUUUGGGAACAACACAUUUCCAAGGCUGAAACCUUUGAAAACAGAGCUAAAUAUUGGCAGCCCUCAAUCUGAUGAAUUUGUCACCUAUUAGCCGUGGUAGUCUCCAUUCCUUUGGCAUAGACCUUGUUAGCAACUCAAGAAAAUUUGUGUCUAUUUCAUUUCAACUAUUUGGUGCAGUCAUUCAGACAGAAAAACCUGUUGAAAAUGGGUUGCAAGGUAAUGCUUGCACUUGCACAGGAGAUAAAUGCCAAUGCAAAGAGCCUCGACAGAUGAGGAUUCUUACUUGUGAAAGUAUCUGUGCCUAUGUGUUGUACAGGUAUGCUUAUAUUUGAGAAACUUGAUUUUUUCACUAGAAUUAAAUCAAUUACAAAAGAGUAAAUUACACCCUCAUUCCUUACUUUUUUUUCAAAUUACAUUCGAUAUUUUUUUUUCUUUUUUUACAUUACUUUUAUCAUCUUUCUAUUAAUGUUGUUAACUAACAUCAAUUGAAAUAUAUGAGCAGACAAAAUUGGUCCAACUCUUUGUUACACUCGCAUCUCUUGUGUUUUUCUCGAAUUACAUUCAAUACCCCUCCCUUUUUUACAUUACUUUUGUUCUCAUUUUAUUAAUAUCGUUAACUAAUGUCAAUUGAAAUGUAUAAGCAGAUGAAAUUGUCCUAACAUCUUUGUUAAAUACUUAAUAAUAAAUUAAUUAACCCUGUGAAUGGACCUUUCUUAAGACAAUAACAAUUUUUUCUUUAAUAUUUGACUCUUACUUCACGUUGCUAACACUUGAAGAAGAUGUUAUUCUUGAUUGAGAUAUUAUAUCAAACACCUAGUUAUCAAAAAUAAAUAUCUCAAAGAAAGGAGUUAAAAACACAAAUAUAUGAGCAAAAUACUAAAAUUUGAAGCAAAUGAUCAUAUUCAAUCAAUAAGCAUUACUGAGAAUACGUCCAACAAAAACAUAACAACCAAACAACCUAUCAUGCACAAAAAAAGUUAAACUAAAAAAAGAAGAAGAAGAAAGGAUGUUAACACAUGCAUACCAACAAGGUGAGUUCACGUCCAACAAUAAGUUGAAUUCACAUCCAAAUAGAGAAAAAAGAAAAAGAAGGAGGAAUGUUAAAAUAUUUUCAAGUUGAAAAUGGUGUCAUGUCUUUUAAGGAGUUAAGAGGAAGAAAAUGAUAAUAUUUUAGACAUAAAUUUUCAUUAAAAGUCAUGUGACCAACAUGUACUUUCUGUUAGAUUAUUAAACAAUAUUUAGGAGGAAGAGGGUUUGAAUGUAAUGUGAACCAAACAAUUAAGGAAUUUUUUGUAAGGUACUAAAAAGGAAGGAUGUGAGGUGCAAUUUGAAAAGACACAUAGAUGCCAGUGUGAGGAAAAAGAUGAAAGUAUUUUUAACAUGAGUUUUCAUUAAAAGUCAUAUAACCAGUAUGUGAUUAUUUUUUGUUAAAUUAUUAAAAGGUGUUUAAAAGAAAGAAAGUCUGAAUAUAAUAUGAGCUAAAUAAUUAAGAAAUUUUUUGUAGGAUGAAAAAGAAAAAAAAUAUCAAAUGUAAUUUAAAAAAAACAUAGAAGGUACGAAUGUAAUUUACUCAUUAUAAAAUCAGGUAUUGAUGCUUUAUUAGCCAAUUUUAUUCUGAAAAGACGGUAAUGUUAGAUAAAUUAAAUUUAGUGCUCUAUAUAAUAAGUGUGAUACAUUUAUGGUUUUAAUUACUAUUUCUAGUGUAUUUUGAUUGACUUUAAAUAUGUUUUUUGUUAUCACUUCGCAUUUAGCAUAUUCAUGAUAUUGAACAUGGACUCAAGUAACAUCCACACCAAAUGUACAAAGCUAAAAUCAUAAUUCAUGCUUUAUUUGUGAUACAAUAAAGUGGAAAAUCAUAAUGUGAAUUCUGUCUUCCUUAUUUAGAUCACGGCAUUACAUGAUAAUCAGAUGUCAUUGCAUCAUGAGCCAUGUCAGGCCAGUGAGUGAUUUAAAUUCCCAAACAUUCUUGAGCAUGUUCAUUGUUGACCUAUUAGCUGGUUGUCUGUGUUGAAAAGAAACUUUUAAUCCAUGUUAAAGUUAAGAUUGACUUUGUAAAUCAUUUAUAAGAAUAAUACAUCUCACAACCAAAAUUAGUAUACAUUGUUGUUCUUUUACCUUUUCCUCUCGACAACAAAAUUUGCUUUUAUAUGGGUUUUAAGAGAAACUGAUGUCAAACUAUAUUUCCUACGCAUUGAUUUAAUAAAAAUUGAUGUAAUAAAUGCUCUUUAAUUUUGACACAUGCAUUUCUUACAUCAGUUAAAAUUACCAGUUAAAAUUACAACCAAUGUAAAAAUGAUUUCCACGCCAUCUAUCAACGGAAGUUAAAAAAGUUUUUUUUAGUGAGGAAAGCUUAGUAUAUGAAAUAAACUUAUACUCUAGAAUGAGAUUGUUGGAAUAAAAUAUAAAUAAGUUGGGUUUUUCGUUAAGAAGUAUGAAUAAGAUCAUUAACAUACGAUUAUGUAUUUUUUCCUUCUAAUUAAGGCAUGCCUUGCACGGUACACAAGCUAACACUAGUAAGUUGAAUAUGCAACAAUUAAUAUAUAAGGAAAAUCAAUUUUUAGAUGGUUGUUGCUCUUUUGUCUUUUUAUCAUGUUUCAAAUUUCUUUGUUGAAGUGAUUCAUAAUAUUUUUAUAUUAUCCAAUUGAUUGUUGAAUUGCGGGAGGUAUUAUAUGGUUCAGGGGUAAUGGCCAAAUCUUGAUCUAAUCUGGGUACGUAUAUGUGUUAUAUAUAUACAUACUAACAUAUCAAGUUAAAACUUUGAUUAUUUUGGUAAAUAAAAAAUAAAUAUGACUGUAAAUUAUAUUUAAAUGUUUAAAAAAUGAAAUUAUUUUUUAAGUGGUUAUAUAACAAUUUAUUAAGCGAGUAUGUAAUAUAAUUAAUUUUUAAUUUCGACUAUACAUAUAUUAUUAUAUAAUUAGGAUUUAUAAUUUUCACAUUUUUAAAAUAAAGAGUCACCUCAUACGUUUGUGUGUGCAAUAAUUUAAUUAAGACAGAGCUGAUUAAAGUGGUCUGUUCAUCAGGAAUAUUUAUACUUUUAUUUAACCAUAAAAUUAUAAUAAAAAUAAAAAUAAAAAAAUUUAACUUUUACAAUAGUUUCUUUAAAAUUUACAUAUAUAAUUAUUUGUAAUUAGUUAAUAAUAUAAAAAUUUUAAUAUAUCAAAAUUAAACUCUAGUACCGCAAGCUCCUCUUAAAAUUUAUGAUAACGAAUCUUUCUAUCCAAAAAAAAAGAAAAGAGAAGAAAUUUAUAGAAAGUUAACUAAUGAUCGAGUAGUAUUAGAAGUGAAGAUUUUUCUUUUAGAAACGGUUUUUUUUCAAACUCUUUUUUGACAUUCAAAAAUAAAACUUCAUGUCAGAUUGGACACGUACGUACACUUGGUUUAGUAUUAGACAAUGGAGUAAGAUAUUAGCAACCGAGGCACUAAAAGUCUAUAGGUUUAGAUCGGUUCCUAACGGAAACUUUGAAACAAUGUGAUAAAUUAUUAUAGUGGGUUAUGUCACAUAUGGUUCUAGAUAUUCUUCCCACCAAUAAAAGUUUAGCAGUCCAAGUUAGAUGCAUGUGUCUGCCUCAAGCACAUUUUUACCACACCAUGUUCUUUCUCUGUGCAAAAAGUUCAGCAAUAUGCUGGGCAGACAAACAAGACCGACAAAAGUAGGUUUUAUUUCUUCCCCGAAGAUCUCGAAACUCGGAUUCUUUUCGUAUUUACAUAAACAUAAGUAAUGUCAAACAUAUAUGUAUACAUUUUUUUAAAGUAUUUUCUGUUAACGUGUAAUUUUGUUCGAGACAUACUUAAAUAUUAAAUGUAAAAUCUAUUUUAGUAGUGAUCAAAUUUCAAAUCUUGAUUUAUUAUAUUGUGAUAUAGACUAUUUUUUUUUGUUAGACCAAAGGAGUUGCUAUAUACCCGUACAUUAUGUUUGAUUUUGUUAAAAAAAAUAUUAUGUUUUAUUUACGAGCCUUUUACCUUCUUAUUUAAGUUUUUUUUUAAAAUAAAUAACUAUAUAAUAAAACUUAGUGUAAGUCAAUGCCUCACAUUCAUUAGAAAUUAUUGGAAGCAAGAGUUUCAAGGAGGUGCAAGCUUCCCCAAUUGGUCUCUCGUCAUUUAUGUUUGACACGUUACUUAGCUGUAUUCAUUGUUGAUUUGUUCAUGUCCUACUGAUACAUAUAUGCACUAGUUGUUGCCUUGAACGGUAAAGAAAAUCUUUAAAUUAAUAAGAAUUGAAAAUAAAUAUGUUAAAAUUUAUUUUUUAAACGAGAUCAAAUAUAAUUAUUAUAUCUAUUUUCCGUUUUAUUCAUAAAAAAUAUAUGUUUGAUUUCCAUGUUUUCAGUAAUAUUUUUUAUACUAUUUAUUUAUUGAUAAAUAUUAACUAUUAAUUUAUUAAAAAAAGAUUCUAACCCACAAUAUCUUCCUUUAAUCACUAAACCAAUCUUAUAAUUCCACAUUUUUAUACUAUUAAUUAAGUAAAAAUAUUAACAAUAUAUUUUCAAAAUUAAUUAUUAUAAGAAUUAAAAAUUUUGUUAUACAUAAUAAUUUAUAAUUAGAUAAUAAUAUAAAAUUUUAUACUAUUAAUAUAUUAAAAUUAAAUCCAAAUAUUAUACAGCAAAAUAUAUAAAUAAAGUUCAAAAUAAAUAUUACACAUAACUCAAAGACAAUAUAACUUUUUUUAAUCUUUAUUUGAAAUAUUAAUUUUUAAUUUUGUUUAUAUAAUUCACAGCAUUUUAAUUCCAAUAAUAAUAAUAAUAAUAAGUAAGGUUUAAUCAUUCGAGUUGGUCAGAUUUUACUUAUGUUUUGAUUAAAUUGAAUUUUAAAUUAGUCAAAAUCUUUUUUUAAGAGGAUUAAGAAAAAAAAAUUCUAAAAAUGUGUCCCUUAAACAUCAAGCCAUCUUGAUUUUGCCUACUUUUAAUACAUUUGUCUUCUUGCUCACAUAAACUUUUUUUUUAUGCGUUUUUUCUCAUAAACUCAAGAAAUUAAACUGGCAUAAGAAGAUAUAGAUGCUAAUAAAACAAACUAGAGAUCCCCGAACGUACUCCAGCUAUUCAAGAUUCAUGUGUGUCAGGUUUAUAAUUAGCAAACCACGGUUUGACUUAAUAAAAAAUAUUGUUUAUACUUUUAUUUAAAUUAUGAUUUGAAAUCAUUAUUUUGUUAGAAUUGACCAAAUGCCCACCUCUAAUUAUACCCAAGACCUGUCAAUGUCAUCCUCAAGAUAUUAUAAAAUCGAAAAAUUUAAAUAGAUAAUUUUUUUGGAAGAAUAAUAAUUAUAAAUUCAUAUAAGUUAUCAUUGAAUUGUGUUUCUUCUGUGAUAAUUUCCCCCGUUAUCUAUCUUCAAUCAAUUAUCACGUUUGUACCUUUGAGUUUAUAAAAAAUGAAUUACUUGGCCAGGCUUAUAUUCAAUGCCUAUAAUUUAGAUGGGCUGAUUUAAUUUGUGACACAUCCUAUUUAAUUUUAAAAUGAUAUGAUUUUGACUUUCCGUUUAACUUUUAUAUAAAUAUUUUACAUUUAACUUCUCUAAAAGGUAGAUAUAAUAGUUGAUUUUAAUUUAUAAAUAAAUUAUUCAUUUAUUUCUAUAAAUAUUUAUAGAAAGAAUUAUCUAAAUAGGAACUGAGAAAGUAUUUUUUGGAAAGCAUUUAUUUAUAAAGUGUGUGUUUGGUUUAAGUUAAUUCGAAAGAAUAUAUAUUUUCAAGUAUGUUUUGUAAGAAAUAUAAAUUCAUAACUUUUGAUUCAAUUCUUUUUUCUCUAACAAUAAACCAAACACACUUGUAAGACUUUAAACCCAUUAUGAUGGAGAAAUGGCUCCUGCUCUGUUUUCUAGUUUUAAAAAUUAAAAUGUUUAACGGAAGUAACUUUUGCAAAUAAUGGAUCGACAAGAACCCAAAAAAACGCGUGGAAAAUUAAAAAAGAAGUCUGUUCCAUCUCAAAAAGAAAACAAACUUUAGUCUCUAUAAAAAAACAAGGAUCCAUCUCAUUUGCUUUUAUAUAUACAACAAAAAAGAAAAUCUAAUUUGCCCUUUUGUUUCUAACUUAAAAGUGAGUAAGGUAUAUUUAAGAAAAUAAAAUUAUGACAAAAAAAUUAAAAUUUAAUAAUUUUAAAAUUUAUUCUCUAUAUUAUAAUUAUGAUUAUUAAAAUUUUUAAUCCAUAACUAUAAUUGUGUUUUAUUCUCUAAAAAUUACCUCUCACUUUAUGGAUAAAGAUGGCUUUACUGCUUGAUUUAAGACAUACUGCAUCUUUAGUUGAAUACAAUGUUUUCUUCAAUUUUAAAACAAUAAUUAUUUAAAACAUUCUUAUGGUUUUUUUAAAAGGCGUUUAAAUCUUUCUAUUUAAUCGUAAAAAAAAAAAACUUACAUUUCAAGUUUUAAUGCUAUAAAUUUAUUUAGUUACAGCUGUUAUGCUGUUAUCUUAUUUUUUUUCUUAUUUAGUACAAAUGUUAAUAUAAAAAAUUAAAUUAUUUGUUAAUGUUGUUAAUUUCUUGAUAAUUUAUUUAAUGAUUUUAAUUAUAGUUAUUUUAAAAUGACAAGAAUAAUAUUUGGGUAUUUUCUUUCUUUUAAAAUAUAAAAUAAUUAUAAAAUUAACAAUGUUAACCUCAAUAAAAAUUAAAAUAUUUUCUGAUACUAAUAUAAUAAUUUUACAAAUAAAAAUAUUAAAUAAUUUUAUGCUUUUAAAACAUUAUGCACACAUUUAUUUGUAAUUAAUAUUUUUAUAAGGUAUUAAGAAAAAGAGUUUUCAGCAUUUGUUUCAUUAAUUACUCAAAUUAAUAUUUGUUCCCUUGUUUUAGAUAGUAAGUGUGUGUUUGCGAAAACGUUGAAUGGAACGUAAGGGACCUCAUUUUAGAGCUUCCCUCACAUAGCAUUGUCUCGGAAAGCAUUGAAAUGCCAUUGAAUGUCCGUUUGGAGGGUUUUGACGUUAAAACAAACAUAGCCUAAAACUUUGUGAUUUUAGCUGAGGUACUGUGUAGUUAUAGAGUUUAGUUUAUGAGAUUUUAAAAAAAAAUUAUAUCAGUUCUUGAUUUCAUAAAAAGACAUUUAUUUUAGUUUUUUUUCACUUUAUUUCUUAUAGUCACCUUGCACAUUAUUAAAAUCAAAUGUGGCUUUAUUAAGAAAUUGAAUUGAAACUUCUAUUAAACUUUUUUUUUACAUUAUCAUAAAUGGUUAUACAAAAAAAUUCACAUUUUAAAAUAAAACUUUAAAAGAAAUCAAACUGAUUAGGACUAUAUGUAAAAAUGAAAGUCAUGGUAAAGUCAAGUUUUUAAAAUAUAUACCAGGGCUUAAAAUGCUCAACAACUGAUGUAAUUUCGAGAAGCAAUUUGAAAGUAUAGCCAAAAUUUAACCUUUCACAUACACAUGAAAUCCCCUCCAGAUCUUUCUGACGACUUUACACGUUUUCCUCUCAAGUGGCAUGAUUGAAAAUUAUUUGAAUCACUGAAGUACGAAAUGCAUGGAGGACAUUGCAUUCAUUUAGGGACCAUGUGUCUCUAUAAAUAGAUGCUCCUCAUCAACAGCUUCAGCACAGUAUUUAGAACAAAUUACUGAUAGAAAAAAUGAAAGUAACAGUUGUGUGUUGUGUAUUGGUUGUGCUAGUUGGUGCACUACCAUUCUCUUCAGAUGCACAACUAGACCCCUCCUUUUAUAGGGACACAUGUCCCACAGUGCAUUCUAUUGUACGUGAAGUUGUUAGAAACGUUUCUAAAUCAGACCCCCGAAUGCUUGCUAGUCUCAUAAGGCUCCACUUUCAUGACUGCUUUGUUCAAGUAUGUUUCAUGUUUGUUCAUCACUUUUCCAAAGUUUUGUGUGAUUGUUAACUCUAUUUUGUUACACAUACAUACGUUGAUCAGUUUUCACUUUAAGCUAAUUAAGCUUUUUCUACUUAAUUUUAAAAGUACAACUCAUUUUCAAUCAGCACAAGAUUGAAAAUGUAUCACAAAUUCUUCUGCCAAUUAGUGUGUUAUUUAGUCUUAAGUUUAAGUCAUAUGUUAACAGGUAAUAAUAAGUUGAUGAUGUUUCUCAUGCUUGUGGCAUGCAGGGCUGUGAUGCAUCAAUUUUGUUGAACAACACUGCCACAAUAGAAAGUGAGCAACAAGCUUUUCCAAACAACAACUCAAUAAGAGGUUUGGAUGUUGUGAACCAGAUCAAGACUGCGGUGGAAAAUGCUUGUCCUGGUGUUGUUUCUUGUGCUGAUAUUCUUGCCCUUGCUGCUGAGAUAUCUUCUGUUCUGGUAUAUAUGUCUCAUUCUAUUUUUAAAUAAAUUUCUUCUGAAAUGUUUGAUGCCAUUAGUACUUUCCACUUUAUAAGAUUAGACCUUCUCCAUGUUUAGUGUGUGUUUUCUUAAUGUGCAUAUUAUCAAAAUUGUAUGCCUAAUAUUUUAACUUUUCAUUCUUUUAGUUUCUAGAAUGUGUCAAUUUUAAUUCUUAACUGACAUAAGAAAGGAGGUUUCACUUCUUAAAAUCACUUUCCUUUGAUUUCAUUAGCAAUCUUUUCUAAGAUUCUCCUUAAUAUUUCAUAUAUUUUAAGAUCAAUUUUAUGGUCUCCCAUAAACAUAUGCUCAUAAAUUAACUGACCAUUUAAGUAGACAGAGAAAAUGAAAGUGAGUUGAUGAAUUAGUUAAAACAAAUUAUUAGUAAGGAAAGUCCACUCGCAGCCGACAUUGAAAAUUACAUACUACAACAUUCUUAAUAUACUAAAGUGUUAAAUCAAAGUCUAAGUUAACAGGUAUGACUUUUGCUUUUACUUUAUUAUCCCUUCUUAUAUUUACAACCAUCCACAGGCUCAUGGUCCUGAUUGGAAAGUUCCAUUGGGUAGAAGGGACAGUUUAACAGCAAACAGAACACUUGCAAAUCAAAAUCUUCCAGCUCCAUUCUUCAAUCUUACUCAACUCAAAGAUGCCUUUGCUGUUCAAGGUCUCAACACUACUGAUCUAGUAGCACUCUCAGGUACAUUUGAACAUUUUCACACUACAGAAAAUUCAUCUCUAUAGUUUUAAAAAAAUGUCAGCACAUUUUGACCCUUCACUUUUCAGGUGCUCAUACAAUUGGCAAAGCUCAGUGCAGAUUUUUCGUCGACCGAUUAUACAAUUUCAGCAACACUGGCAACCCUGAUCCAACUCUUAACACAACCUACUUGCAAACACUUAGUGCAAUAUGCCCCAAUGGUGGACCUGGCACUAACCUCACCAAUUUUGACCCAACCACACCUGACACAUUGGACAAGAACUACUACUCCAAUCUUCAGGUUCACAAGGGCUUGCUUCAGAGUGAUCAAGAGCUGUUUUCCACAACCGGUGCCGAUACCAUAUCCAUUGUCAAUAGCUUCAGCAGUAACCAAACUCUUUUCUUUGAGAACUUCAAGGCUUCAAUGAUAAAAAUGGGUAACAUUGGAGUGCUAACGGGAUCUCAAGGAGAAAUCAGACAACAAUGUAAUUUUGUUAAUGGGAAUUCUGCUGGACUGGCCACUCUGGCCACCAAAGAAUCAUCAGAAUAUGGCAUGGUUAGCUCAAUCUAAAUAACUUAACAAAAACAAAAGUUAGUGUAUGCUUCAAAAUGCAGAGAUUAAAAGGUACCUAAUAAAGAGUUCAAUAGGCACGUACAUGGCUCGUGCCUGCGGUGGACCAUGAUAUAUAUGUCUGUACUUUUGUGCACUGCGUCACCUAUGCUAUCACUUUAUUUGUAAGAUCUGGUCAAUAUAUAUAUUAUGAGAAUUCUAAGUCAUAUCAUGCAGAUAAACAUGUGAAAAGAUAGCAUAGUAGAGGCUGGGGUAUUUGUUGAUGAACUACUGAAUCUUGUUACCAAGUAUUAUUAUCUAUGCUGCUUUUAAUCUUCUACCUGUAUUAAUUGGAUUAAAAUUAUUAUUUUAACAACAAAUGAAUGUAAAGUUACAAUAAUAUGUUGAUAUGCACCCUAGUAUAGUUAAAAAUCUGAAAAAGUUAGUGCACACAAUUUGCUUGUACCCUCGUGGUUCCAACACACAUGUUGAACAUUUUGCCAGUUGUAACUAAAGUUUGGAUUCAAACAUGCAAUUGAGUGAGGACAGAGAAUUAGGAUGGUCCAAUUUAACUAGAUAAAGUCGUAUGAUUCGUGAAUAGUGAAGAAAACUUCAUAACCUAAGAGAGGAGACACAAUUCAAGAGAGAUACGUAAACUCAUUAUAAAAGUUUUAAUUCAACACAAAAUUAAUUCUGAAUCUAUAUAUAGUCAAUUUUUCAACACAGAACCAACCAUGUGAACAUUAACAUAAAAUUAGAUUAGGUGAUUUUUCAACUUAAUUUUGAAACAUGAAAUCAAAUACAUAACUUUUACUUACACUUGAAAUCCUCGAGAUCUUUCUGCUCAAUUUUCUCGUUCUUCCUUUAUGUGGCAUGAUUGAAAAUUAUUUGAAAUACUUGCUCACAAUUACAGGUUCAGUAUACUUAAAUUAACUCGAAAAAAUGAGUCUCCUCUGUGAGCAAGUAAUAGCUGUGUUGUGUGUUGUGCAUUGGUUGUGCUAGGAGCACUACCAUUCUCUUCAUAUGCACAACUAGACCCCUCAUUUUACAAGGAAAGAUGUCCAAGAGUGCAUCCUAUUGUACAUCAAGUCAUUAGAAAUGUCUCUAAUUCAGACCCCCGUAUGCAUGCUAGCCUCCUAAGGCUCCACCAGCAUGACUGCUUCGUUCAAGUACGUUUAAUUUCAUCGAGUUUUUGGUGUCAUUAAUUAUCAACUCCUUUUCUAAUUUUUACAUAUACAACUCAUUUUCCAUCAAGCCAAAGAUUGAAAAACGCAUUUUGGUGUGUUGUAAAAGUUAAAUAAAAGCUACAAAUUCUUACAUUUUGGCCUUUGCUAAGAAAGGGAUCCAACACCAUUUUGAUUAAGAAAUGAUAAGCUAUACAAUUUACUCUUUUUAGUGUAUUAUUUAUUUAGUCUUCCUUUUAAAUCAUGUGUAGUUGUUGAGAAUGAUCACAAGAAAUAAUGAAGAGCAUUGAUUAUGUUGGUAGUGCCUGUGGCAUGCAGGGGUGUGACGGACCCAUUUAAGUAUAAACUGGAUUGUUACGUUUCUCCCAGUACGUAACCGGUUCUUUCUCAUUAGUUAAGUAAGCCAUGUCUAUGAUAUUGCUCUCUAAUUUUUUUUUGGGCCAAAUGGUAACAGUGUCCUUAGUAUUAAUUAAAAAACUAAAAGAAAAAAGAUGUGAUGCGUAAAACUAUGAUGUUGAUGACUUCUUUUAUAUUGUCAUUAUGAUCUUUAUCAUAAAUAUUUUUUACUUUUAGUUUUUUAACCAAUGUCUAGGGCACUGGUUAGCGAAAAUCCUUUAUUUUUUAUAUAUAUUAAAUUGUAUUUUUUUUAACGUUAGACGAUUACAUUAAAAGACCCCUUUUGUUUGUUGCUCGGACAUACAUGAAUACUCUAUUUAUUCCUGAAAAAAUUAUCUGGAUCAACCUUACGAGGCUCUGGAAAUUGUUAUUGAAGUAUUUGGCCCCAUAAACCUCUCCUUGAAAGCUAUUCUCACCAAAGCUGUUAACUCCAAUAUCAAGGUCCCUAUAAUUCAAAAAACCACUUCUGGGAUUCUUUGACACAAAAGGGGUCAUGUAACUGUACAGCUUCUUAGCCGCACCAAGUGAAGGAUCAAAGCAGUUCACAAAGUACUGAAUCUUGAACAAGUUCCCCUUACGGUGAGGAAACGGCGUCGCAUCAGAAGAAAUCUCAGCAAUUUUCCCUCCAUAAGGGUUGAAAGCAAGCCCUAUUUCCCCAACUUAAUAAUCCUUUUAAAUAUACACUCCAACCCUUCUCAUGGAAUAGCUCUCUGAACAUAAUCAAAUUUUCUUGUAAGUAAAAAAGCAGUGUUUACAUGCCGUUUGUUAGUAUAGAGCAAUAAAAUAAGAUAAAGAAAUAAAGGGAAGAAAGAAAAAGACACAAAAUUUAACGUGAUUCAGCACACAAUGUAUAUACCUACGUCCACGGCUACACUAGGAGAACUUUUUAUUACUUGCACAUAAAAACUUGUGUCUCAUUAGUGUUAUAUAUAGAGACACCUUGUAAGCUUUUAUGUGCAAGUAAUAAAAAGUUUUCCUAGUAUAGCCGUGGACAUAGACACAUACAUUGUGUGCUGAACCACCCAAUAGGGUUUCAAUCCAUCUCAUCUCAGUGUAAUUCUCCUUCUUUUCAGACAUCUGUGCAGGGGUGUGACGGAUCCAAGAGCUGUUAUCCACGUCUGAUGGCUGAUGCUUAUACCAUUGACAUGCAAUUGUCGAUAUAUAUAUAUAUAGAGAGAGAGAGAGGUUCAGUCGUAACCAAACUCUUUUCUUUGAGAGCUUUUAAGUCUGCAAUGAUAAAAUUGGGUAGCAUUUGGAGUGCUCACGGGGUCUCAAGGAGAAAUCAGAAAACACUGUAAUUUUGUUAAUAGGUAGGAAUCAAUUCUGCUGCCACAAAAAUCAUCGGAAGAUGGCAUGGUUAAUAAUUAGCACUUCCUCAAUCUAAAUAAAUUGACAUAAACAAAGUUAGUGUGCCUAUCAUAAAACAAGUUAGUGUGUAUCCUUGAGCUUCAGAAUGUGAUUUCAUAGAGUUUGUAAGAUGUGAUUUCCUAUGCUAUGAGAAUUCUAAGUUGUCAUGUUGAUUUGAUAAUCAUGUGAAAAGGCUGUGGCUGGGGUAUUUCUUAUGAGAUGAAAAUGAUAAUUGAUGAAUCUUUUUUUGUCCAUACUAAUGAAGAUGGACCAAGUGUUUAUAUAUAUAUAUAUAUAUAUAUAUAUAUAUAUAGCAUUAUACAUUCUCAUACAUGAUCUCUAGCAUUUUAAGAGUUAGAAACAAGCUAUGUUGUGGUAUAUAUACUUGCAAUAUUGAAGCAAUUGAAAGACAAACAACGUAACUAAUUGUAGAGAUUCUAAAUUUUCUUGUAAAAUUCUUCUGUUAAUCUUCUUACUUGUUCUAAAUAUGAAAUAUAUUUUUAUUUUUGAAACAUUAAAUACAUUUAUUUUUUUAUAAAAUUUUAAAAGGAUUUAUAUGAAAAUAUAACACUACUGCUCCUUCAAAUAAUCCCAUAUAUAUUACAUUUUAUAAGGCAUUACAGCAUAAAAACGGAAUGAAUUGAAUCAAAUCAAAUGUUAAUUACAAAUGUACACAAUAUUCAAGCAAACAACGGCAUGAACUUAUACGGAAAUAAAUCCGGAUUUGGGUACAUGCUGAGACUAUAUACAUUUUAAUUGUUUUGUUAAGACAAUUUUGAAUACUACCUUGAGUUAAAACAGGACAGUUGAUUUGAUUUUAUGCAAAAAAAAAAGGUAAGAUAUGUGCAACCAGGCCCCAAAAUUCAAAUUUCUACAUGUUUAGGUUGGAACCUAACUGAAAGUUGGAGAAAAGCAGUAAUAAUAAUCAAAUCAUAGUUCUGUCAAAAAAAAAAAUCAAAUCAUAGUGGCAUGUGGUUCUAGAUAAUCUUCAUAUUCAAAGAAUUUUAGCUGUCAAAUUUAGAUGAAUGAAGGGAAAAUUCUACACCGCGCACGUCAAUUACACGAUGUCCUAUUAUCUCGCCAAAGGUCACACCAACUUUGCGGACAAACAAGACCGACAAAACUCGAGUUGAUAAAUCACCAUCACCCGAACACAUCGAGUCUUUUUUCAACCAUAGUAAUUAAAGAAAUUUGACUCCCCGUGAAAUUCUCGUUAUUUUUAUAAGUUUUGAUUCUUAGAUCAGAUAUGUCACACAUCUUACAUUAAUUAUUACUUUUCUUCAAGAGUUAUUCCAUAGAUUUAUGUUGCAUUAUCAACUAAAUUACACAUUGGGUUAAGAUAUCAAAUCUGAGUUAAUAUAUUAAAUUUUGGAAAUGAUAAAUGUUACAAAAAGUUAAAUUAAUGUUAUAAAAAAGUUAAAUAAAUUUUUUAAUUAAUAUUAAAUAUCAUAUUAUAUGCUUCAUAAAUUUGAAAAUUUAUUAUAAAUAACUAAAUAAUAGUAAUAAAUAUAUAUAAAUAUUACAUGUAAACUUUUCUUUUUAAAAAAUAUUAUAAUAAUUUUUUUUAAAAAUAUAGGUUACAGACUGUCUCUUUAUAUGCUGUUUUAAAGUACUCCAAGGAAGCAACGUUGUAGAGAACGCUGAGUUAGAAAAGUUUUUUUUUUAUCAGAGAAAUUACUUAUCAUUAAUCAUUAAUAUAUACAAAUAUGAUACUCAAAUCAUUUCCCCAAAUUGGUUAUAUAAUAUUUAUGUACCGCUAUACAUAAAUACACAAUAACCAAUUGAUUACAAAUCUCCCCCAAUAAAAUAGAAGUGGACGAAAAAUGAAUUAUCUUUCUUUAUUUGAUCUAGUUCUAGUAACCAUGAACCAAGUCCGAAAAGUAGUCAAUACUCGAACAUCAACACGUGGAAAAUUAAAAAAGAAGUGCAUGCAAUCCCAUUCCAAAGGCAAUAUAUUACUGUUUCACUUGGAUACUGGGACGGUAAACGUGUUCUUGGGGUUCAAUUUUUUUUCUUCAUUUUAUAUCAGCUUUUCCUCAGAAAUAGUUAAUAGUAUAUUAUUUUGAACUUAAACCAUUUAUUAAUGGCCUGUUUUCUCUUUGGCUAUUUUAAUUAAAACUUUCUAACUCUACAAUUCCCGUUUAAAAGUUUUCAUUAAAAAAUUCAAUCUUUUUCUCUUUGGCUAUUAACAGUUGUGUUUAAAGAAAUUCGUUCUUUUUAUCUGAUUUGAAUAAAAUUGUGUAAUAUAUUAUUUGUGCUUUACUAAAAAAAAAUUCAUCCCUAAGUAUUAUACAUGCUAUGUUUGUAUAUAUAACCUUUAUUAUAUAACAUUGUACUCUGGCACUGCUUGUGUUUUCCAGUAAUAUAUUAUGUUUGCUUAUUUAAAAAUAAAUGUGCAUGUCCACAUGCAUAUGUGACGUCAUGCAUUUGAUAUUAUGGUGACGAAUUUGCACCAUAGUACCAUUAAUUUCUUAUUAAAAAAUACUAAAAAGUGAGAAUAUAUAAUAUCCACGAGAUGAGUUAAUUUACAUGUUCCUUUAGUUUUAAAUGAAAGAGUGAUGAUUGCCCUUUUAUUUUGCAUAGAAAAAAUGGUUCUUAUAUUUAACCGAAUUUUACAAGCUACUCCAUUUAAUAAACUGUAUGAAAUUUUUUUCUUACAGCAACAGAAUGAAAUAAAAUUCAAACCACCUCCCAUGCCAGUUUAUUCGGAUACUUAAUUAAUUAAAAAAAUAAAAAUAUAUGAAAGCAUAUUAAAUAUAAAUAAUUUUUAUUUUGACAAAUUUUGUCUUCCCAACUUAAAAAAUGGAUUAAUUAGGAAGACUAAUUAAUGUUUUAAAGUCAAAUACCAAUAUAAAAUCAAAUUUUAUUUAACCUCGACCAAAUUAAGUGAAAUUUUGUAUUUAGACAAUCAAAAUAAUAUAUUGUUUUUAACUUUAUAAAUAUUUUUGUUAGAGUUCAAGUAUGAAAUCUCAUAUUUUGAAUAGAAAUGAGAAAGUUGUAUAAUAUAUAAAUGAGAAAGAUUUACAAACAUGAUAUUCUGAGAUUUUAGGUUAAAUUGUAAUAUUAAAUUUAUUUGUGUGCUAUACUUGUGAUGUAUUGAUAAAGAUAUUUUUAUGUUUUAUUAUCCUUGGUUUUCACAACAUUUUUUUAUUAAUAAAUCAAAUUAAGUACUAAAUUUUUAAAGUACAGCAAUGUUAUAUAUGUUAGGAAAAAAAAUCUUUAAGAAAUAUAUGAAUUAAAUGAAAUACGUGUUUUAGUAAAAUUCAAAAUUAAUAUAUAGACACACCUUAAUUAAUUACAAUCAUUCAUAUAUAUAUAUAUAUAUAUAUAUAUAUAUAUAUAUAUAUAUCUUAUUUUUCUUAUUAUAUAUACUAUAGCAUUUAUUAUAUUUAUAUUUCUUCUCCGAUGACUCUUUCUCUCUUAAUAUAUCAAAUAACAAUGAGGUGUUCAUAUAUUAUUAUUCUUUUCAUUUAACUUGUACAAGUGCUAUAAAAAAUGGUUUUCAUGGCAUACGGCAGUGUUGUGCUUAAAGUAAUACCAUCCCGAGCAUUAUACAUAUUCUCAUAUUUGUAUAACUUAUUAUUUAACUGCUAUCCAUUACAUAUAACUCAAUCCACUUGUAUAUGUCAUGAGGUUAUCCAUUUCGCAAUAAGGUGACGAAGUGCACCAAAAUACGUAGACCAUUGAUUUCUUUUUUUUUUUUUUUAAUAAAAGAUACCAACAGCCAUGAUAAUAUUCACAUGAUGAGUUGACAAGUUCCUUUAUUUUUAAUGAAUCAAAGAUAUUUUUCAAUUCUUAAAUGAAUUUUAUUUGUCUCGCCAAAAUUUUCCAUUAACAUGACUAGGGAAUCGUAUAUCACCCAACAUGUUUAAAGAACCUAUCUGCAUUAAACUUUGAUAUGUUUUUUGAAUGAUGAUUACUUCUUUAUGACAUGUGAUAGACAUAUAAUAAUUUGUACAAGAUUUUAUCAUUAAGACAUAUAAUAAAUGAUGUAAAAGGAAGAGAUAGACACACAUAAAAUAUUAAUAAACAAAAGGAAUACUACUAAUAUUCUUUCUGACAUUUUCUUUGUGAUUAUUUAAAAAAAUUUAAAAUUAAUAAUAACUUUAGUAAAUCUCAUAUCUAAAUUAAAAAAAAAAGAAUCAUUAAAUGAUAGGUGUAAGUUAUCAAAAUUAAUAAUUUUAAUACAUUUUAGUCAAUAAAAAAAAGAUAUUAAAAAAAGAAUGUUAGAGAAAGUGUUUGACAUUUUUUGAAUAUACAAAUUAUUUUAUUAUUUUAUGAAUGGUUGUACAUGUAACAUUUCUCUUAUUUUAUUUACAAUAAUUGUUCUUAAAUUCAACCGAAUUUAAAAACACUCCAUCUAAUACACGUACUUUACUACAAUUUUCCUUACGAAAACAAUAUGAAAUAAAAUUCAGACCACCAACAUGGAACCAUGAAACACGGACAAUGCAUUCACUUGCAAGUUGACUCUCUUUAUAAAUAGAAACACCAAAUCUGUGUGUUCUUGCACCAACAACAACGACAGCAAACUCAUAAUUGCAAACACCAGAAAGAGAAAAAAAAAUGAAUUCCCUUCGUCUCACUUUAUGCUGUGUGGUGGUAGUGCUUGGAGCACUACCCUACUUCUCAUAUGCACAACUAGAUCCCUCGUUUUACGAUAGCACAUGUUCAAAUUUGAGUUCAAUCGUACGUGAGGUGCUCACAAAUGCUUCCCUGUCUGAUCCCCGCAUGCCUGCCAGUCUCAUCAGGCUCCACUUUCACGGUUGUUUUGUACAAGUAACUACCUAUAUUCUUCAUAUCUUAACUCCAUAAUGUGAUAUGUAGUUUUUUUUUUCUUUUUAUUUUAAACUAAAUCCUUUCCUGGCUACUUCUGUUACCCCGAGAAUAACUCAUUCAUAAACUUUUUUUUUAUAUUACAUAGUUGAAAUGUAUAUAUGUGGAUUCAUGAACGGAGGAAAGCCUCAAACCACUUCUAUAGAAAUUUUACUAUUUUAAAGAGUAGAUGUGUUUGAGUUCUAUUUUUAAAACUGAUUUUAGUUUCAACCUAAAUAAGACUGCUCAUACUACAGUUGGUAAAGGCUGGUUCACGAUAUACCACAUAGGUCAAAGUGUAAAAUUGAAAGAGCAGUUGAAUAAGAUAAAAUCAAAAACAUGAAGAUGAGAAAAUUAAAUACCUCCUAGCUAUUUUUUCUUUUGGUUUUUAAGACACUUAUUUUAGAAACAAUUUAAAAUUUAUUAGAUUUAAUUAAUAAUUAAUGAGUGAUGUAAAAUCGUUUUAGAAAAUAAUUUUUUAAAUGAAACAAUGAGAAGGGGAUCAAUCAAACAUGUCUUUGGUCCCCUCCAUCAAUUUUAUGCGUAAAAGGAAACGCAGUUUGAAAUGUCAAGCUUUCCUUAUGGGCACUGAUAAAUCAAGAGUUAAUUAAAUAAGAGAAAGAGUGUUUUGUUUUAAUAUGACUCAAAUUUCUUGUUGCUGAGAAUUGAAGUGAAUUAUAUAUGUUUCCAGGGGUGUGACGCAUCAAUUCUAUUGAACCAAACGGAUGAGAUCGAUAGUGAGCAAACUGCUUUUCCAAAUGACAACUCUAUAAGAGGGUUGGAUGUUGUGAACAAGAUAAAGACCAGGUUGGAAAAUGCUUGUCCUGGCAUAGUUUCUUGUGCUGAUACUCUUGCCCUAGCAGCUGAAGUAUCUUCUGAGCUGGUAUAUAUAUGCAUUUUAAUUAAUUUGUUUAAUAAAUCUCUAGUUUAAUUUAUAGAAAAUCAAAAUAUUGAGUAUUAUUAUGAAAAGGGAAAAAUAUAUAUGUUUUUAGUCUCUCUAAAAAAUAUUAAAUUUAAUUUUUUUUCUCUAAAAAAAUUGUUCUAUUUUUAUAUCCUCAACUUUUACUCUUUAAACUAGUUAUAAUUAAUAUUUUAUGACGGUUUGUAACUGUAUUGUCAAAAAAUAUACUUUUGAGGCUAAAAAUAGAAUAUUUACAUGUUAGAGAACAAAAAUAAGGAAAAAAAUUGGACGGCCAAAGCCGAUUUUAAGAAAAUUUAGAAAUAUCAAAAAUAUAUUUUAUUCGUAUAAAAAUAAGAAAAACCAAUGUUCCAUACAGUUUUAGUUUGAUUUCCUUUACAGUUUUGGUUUGAAAAAUCUGAUUUUUAAACUAAUUAUUUGAUCCAACUCAAUAAUUAAUUUCUAAUCCAAAAUCUAUUCAAUUUAAAGAUAUUUUUUAAAAAAGUGUUUUAAAAACUAAAAAAAAACAUAAAUAUAUGAGAAAUUAAUGUUUUCUCAACAGUUUCUUUUUCUUAUUCUAUAGGAUAUGGAUCAUAUGAAGUGAUAUUGCAUGUGGUGAGGUAUGAACUUGGUAUUGAUUUUUGUUUUCUUUCUUUAAAAAAUCAAAAAUAGAAAUCAAACGCGCCUUGAAGUUUCAAAAUAUUGUUUGGAAAUUCAAUGGAAACCUAUAUAUAAAACUAGAGACAAUAAUUAACUUGAUAUGUGAUAGGAUUUUUUUUUUCUAAAUGGCCUAAGAAAGAAACACCUCAGACACAAAUUAAUUAAUACUCAACUGAUAUGUGAUAGGAAUAUAAAUAAGAUGAGUUGUUUAUAAACUAUUUGUUUUAUAGGUUAGUUAUUUAUUCAACUUUAAUAAUUUUUUAAAUAAAUUAAUAAUCUCAAAUUUAUAGUUAGAUUUAACUAUUUUAAAUAAGUGAAAUCUAAGUUUUGUAGGCUUGACAUUAAUAUUUCAUGAAUGAUAUAUAUAUAUAUAUAUAUAUAUAUAUAUAUAUAUAUAUAUAUAUAUAUAUAAUUUUUAUAUAAUUAUUUAAUUACAAAUUACUAUGAUAUGUCACACGCACAAAUAAUGACUAUAUAUUUUAUUAUAAUUUCACUUUAUUUUAGCACAAAGAUAUCAAUUAUAUACUAAAUUAAUAAAAAUAAAAGAUUUAUAUAAAAAUAAAAUUAAUAAAGAAAAAAUAAUCAAGACACCUUAAUAAGUUAAUAACUCAACCUCAAGUUUUUUCACUUGGUUCAACUCAUUUACAUCGUGAAAUUUGAUAAAAACAAAGAAAGUUAUAAGUUAGUGAGUUUGAAGGACGCGAGGUUAGAAAUUAAAGAAUGAAAAUUCUAAAGAAAUUAUUUUUAUGUAAAAUUUGAUGUUUUAGUUAGUGAGUAUGAGUAAAAGAAAAUUUAAAAUAAUUUAACUGAUUCAAUUUGUUAAAUUUUUAAGUAGAAAAUGAGAAUUUGAAGAUUUUAGGUAGAAGAAUUAUUUUUUUUAAGAAAUCUAGAAGAAAGCUGGAAUGAUCAAUUUUGCUUAAUAUUCAAAAUAAAACUGAUUUGAACAUAAUUUUAAAAAAUCAAAAUCAGAAAUAAUAUAAAUUAAAGAGAUCACAGGUAUAAUUAGCUUCUUUUUUAAUUUAUAUUCGCAAUGAAAUUGGACUUCUCGCUUUUUUUGUUCGUGAUUCAUGCAAAGGUUAAUUUCUUUGAUUUAAUUUAUUUGUCCAUUUCGAAUUUUAAGAUAAUAUUUACUACUUUUUUUAAUAAUACUUUUAUUCUCACGUUAUCAUUAAAUAUUUUACAGUCUUAUCUUAAAUAAAAAAUAAUAUUAAAAAUUAUUAUAAAAAAGGAAAAACAAUUUUAACAUAAAUAAAAAAUAUUAAUUAUAUUUCUUAAUAUAUAUGAGUAUAUAUUAUCCUCCUAAAUAAACAUAUAAAAAGAAACAAUUGUACUAGCUAUACUAUUUCCUCUUUCCAUGCAAAUGGAGAAGCGGACUCUAGUUUAUAUAUAUAAAUUAUCCAGGUGUUGACACAUGUCAAUUUUCAGUGUAAUUUUUUCUAGUCUUACUUAUUUUAUCGUUUUCUAUUUGCAAUAAUAAUUUUACUGCUUUGAUUUUCUUCUGUGUCGAGCACGGGAUUAUUGAUCUAAUAGUUAUAUAAAUCUGUCUAAAGAAAAAGAAAGAAGUAGAGGAAUUUUCUCUAUGUAUUUUUAUGGUGCUUUUAGAAUUUAUGCAGAGCAGUUGUGAAAAAAUUGAUUUAUUAAAAAAUUGAUUGCCCUUCAUUUUGUUUUAACUUUAAUCUUAAUAUAAUCUUAUUAAGAAAACAAUAUAUUUGUUUUUAGGAUUUUUGGUGGUCUACUUUAAAUUAUGAGUAUGCUCACAUAUUGGGUCAUUAUUUAACAAGAAUAAAGAAAAUAAGAAUGGAGAGGCGGAAUUGAUUCAAACAAAUCAUUGCCAAAGAUAUAACUAAAUUUCUUGGUGGAAUUUUAAUCUUAAUUGAAACCAUAAGUUCUCAACAACAAAAAAAUUCACCUUUUGCAUUCUAUUUUGUCCACCUUUUGUACUGUUUGGCAGGCUUGUGGUCCUGUUUGGGAAGUUCCAUUAAGAAGAAGGGAUGGUUUCUCAGCAAAUCAGACCCUUGCUAAUGAAAAUCUUCCAGCUCCUUCUCUUUGCAUUGAUCAACUUAUAUCCGCAUUUGCUAAUCAAGGCCUCAACAUUACACUGAUUUAGUUGCACUUUCAGGUAUGAAAUUUCUUACAUUUAAUAAAUAAAUAAAAGGUUUUAUAGUGUGUGAUUACAAGCACAGUAUAUUCAAUAUAUCUUGUCAAAUGCUUUAAAUUGUUUAAAUAAGUAAUGAUUAAACGUCAUGAGUUUUUUAUAUAGCCGUACAUACAUCCAUUUUGCUACUCUUGUUUUUAUUACUUAACCAAUAAUUUAGAUACAUUUUAUCAAAUUUCUUUUUGGUAAUCUAUGCUCUUGUAUAUAAUCAAAUUUAAUUAGACAAGAGUAGAAAUGCAUAUAAUUAAAUGACAAUAUCAAUGAAGUGCAACUCAAUUGAUAUAUUGAGCAUGGCAUAUGAAUUUUUAUAAAUCUCUAAUAUUUUUUUUCGAUUCUCACAUACAAAAAAAAAAUAUUUCGAAGAAUGUUCUUGUAGCCAAAAAAGCAAUGAAAUUAAACCCUUUAAUAAGAAUGGUAUUAUUUUGUUGUAUUACUUAUUGAAAAUGUCUCAUUUUUAGGUGCUCAUACUAUUGGUAGAGCUCAAUGCAAGUUUAUUGUUGAUCGAUUGUACGAUUUCAAUGGCACUGGCAAUCCAGAUCCUACUCUCAACACAACUUAAUUAGAAUCAUUGCAAGUAAUAUGUUCCAAUGGUGGACCUGAGUCUGAUCUUACCAAUUUGGACUUAACCACUCCUGGCACGUUGGACUCGAGUUACUAUUCCAAUCUUCAACUUCAAAAGGGCUUGCUUCAGAGUGACCAAGAGCUUCUUAGUGCAAAUGGUACCGAUAUUGUUGCCAUUGUUAACAGUCUCACUAGUAACCAAACUUUUUUCUUUGAAAACUUUGCAGCAUCAAUGAUUAAAAUGGCCAACAUUGGAGUGCUAACGGGAUCAGAUGGAGAAAUUCGAACACAAUGUAAUUUUGUGAACGGAAAUUCUUCUGCCCUUACCACCAAAGAAUCAUCACAAGAUGGCAUGGUUAGAUGGGCAAAGGUUAUGCUGGAAAAUGCUGGGAUUAAAGGAGGUGUCAAUAAAGAGUUUUGUGUGUGCAUGUGGUGAACCGUUAUAAACUUUGUACUUUGUAUUCUAUACACUACACCUAGCUCUGUAUUCUAUAUACUACUAAAUAAUUGCUGUCACAAGCAAUCAUGACCUCCGUUGCCUUAAAUUUCAAUAUGUAUUAAUGAAGUUGAGUUAAGAGUAUUACUUCAAUUAAUUAGACCCAAACUUGGUUCAUAAUACAAACAUUGUCUUUAGAUAAAAAAAAAAUUAAAAAAAAGUAAGAGAUUACGGCCGGACAAAGCACAAAGUGCAAUAAAUUUGACAAAUAGUAUUGCGAGAGGUGAUGAGCAAAAAGACUAUAAAUUUACUAUAGAAGGCAUUGGUAAAAAAAAUUAAUCUGUACAGAUAUUGUCAAACCAACUUUAUCAUAGAAAGCAAUUGCAGACAUUUAUAUAUUCUGGAAGAAAAACCUAACUGGAGACCACAUUGACAACUUCAAUGGGAAGAUCGCCAAUGAGUAAGCAACUAGAAUAACUUUUAAAGAUAUUUUAAAAGAGAAAACAGAAACAGAUUUUAAUUAAUAACAUAUAUUCACAUAAUGAACUUUUAAGUUGUUUAUAUUUUUUAAAGGACAUCUUUCAAUGAUACUUUAUUCUGUGUUCUGUAACUUUAUGUAAAUGUAAAUAACCUCUUUCUUCUUGGGUAAAUUAAACAAAAGAAAAAAUAUAACGAGCUAAGUGUGGGAAAUGGGAAUAUGCUCUUUAGAAAGAGAGGGGGAAAAAAAGCAGGUUUUGAUGGGAGACUUUCAUAAUUCAUAAUUCUAGGUUACAGACUGUCUGUUUAUUUGUAGUAGUUUAAAAGAACUCCAAGUAACGUUGGAGGGAACACUGAAAUUAGAAAAGUAGAAGUGGAUGAAAAAGGAAUUUUCUUUCUUUAUAUUUCUUCUAGUAACUAUGAACCAAGUCCAGAAAGUAGUCAAUACUCGAACAUGAACGCGUGGAAAAUUAAAAAAGAAGUGCAUGCACAAAGUUUCACAUUACUUUUUCACUUAAUACGAUAGAAGUUAAGUAUGUCCUCGCAUAUCGUAGCCAAGUUAGGAAGUAUUUACUUGGAGACUGGGACGUUAAACGUCCGGUUCAAUUUUUUUUCUUCAUUUUCUAUUAACGUUUUUUACAAAAUAGAGUAGUUAUUAGUGGUGUAUUUUUUUCUUUGACUGUUAUAAUUAAAAUUGUCUAAGUGUAUGUUUGAUUCUGCAUUUAAAUUGUUAUCACACAAAUUUUGAAACAAAUCCAACUGAUGCAAAAUUAACAUAACAAAGAGAAUCCUGAUCGGUUAACAAAAUUAUAUUUAUCCUCACUAAACGUUUAGCAAACAUGCUCUAUAUAUAACAAUCUAUCCUCGUUUAAAAGCUUUCAAUAAAAAAAUUCAAUGCUUUGUUUUUUUUUCAUGCUUUAGUGAAAAAUUCUCAAACAUUACCUUAACAGCGACACAUCUCCUAUAUUUUAAUAAUUUAAUCAAAAUAAUAUAUGAUUUUAUAUACAUUCUACCAACUAAAGAAGCUUGGUAUGUGCGGCUUUUGCUUUAAACUUCUAAAAGCAGAACUCAUCUGUGAUUGAAUACGAUAUAUGUCCCCACCUCAUAACUCAAAUGUAGAGAGUUUUCCUUUUCUAUAAAUUUAAAUGAAUCAAGAUAAACACAAAUAAACUUAUAUUCUCACCAAAAAGUACAUAUUUAUAUUGCAUAUGUAAUCAUUUAGAUGCUUUUAAAUUUUAAUAAAAAGUAUAUUGCAAAAUAACAAACUUAAAUUGAUGAAUUUACAAAUAAAUACCAUCCCCAGGUGCGAUAGCCGUUAUCAUAUUUGUAUAACUUUUAUCACUUAAGUACUACUAUCGAUUUACAUGUAACUUGAUCCCCUUGUAUAUGUGAGGUAUAUAUAUGCUUUUGGUAAUAAGGUGAUGAAGUGCACGAAAGUACUACCCUUUUAUUUUUACAUAGAAUAAUGGUUCUUAAAUUUAUCCUAAUUUUACAAACUACUCCAUUUAAUACACCGUACUAAAAAAAUUGCUUAUUACAACAGUAUGAAAUAAAAUUCAAACCACCAACAAGAAAGUAAUUAACCCUGAAACAAGGAUAUUGCAUUCAUUGAUCAUUUUUCUCUCUAUAUAAAAAGCACCCGGUUCUGCGUGUUCUUGCAACAACAACAACACCCUCAUAAUUGCAAACAUCAGAAAGAAAAAAUGAAUUCCCUUCGUCUCACUAUAUGUUGUGUGGUGGCAGUGCUUGGAGCACUACCACACUUCUCAUUUGCACAGCUAGAUCCUUCAUUUUACGAUAGCACUUGUUCAAAUGUAAGUUCAAUUGUACGUGAGGUGCUCUCAAAUGUUUCUCAAUCUGAUCCCCGCAUACUUGCAAGUCUCAUCAGGCUCCAUUUUCACGACUGUUUUGUUCAGGUAACUAUAAUUACUCUUCAUAUCAUAACUCCAUUCAUAGUUUCUUGCUACUGCAGCUAACUCUUUUGCACGUCUUUUGUUUUUAAAGCAAAUCCUUUCCUAGCUACUUCUAUUACGUACCCCGAGCAAAACUCGUUUAUCAAAUCAGUAAUAAUUUUUUCUUUUAUAUUAGAUGGUUAAAAUGCAAGAGUUCGUGAAAACAUUUCUAUAGAAAUUUUAAUGUUUUUAAAUUAAGUGUUUUUUAUUGAGAAGUAAUUUAAAUGAAUGUAUUUCAUUAAUCUAUUAUAUGAAAUACAUCAAAUACAUAAGAAAAUAUAGAAGAAGUGGUUGUAUAAUAGAAAUAGAAUAGGAUAACAACCUACUAUAUAGUAACAACUAUUUGAAAUAUAAAUUAAAGAUAAAAUCAAAUAGAUAAAAAUUAUUUAAAAUACAAAUUGAAGAUAAUAUCAACUAAUAAUUAAAACAUAAAUUCAAAUUAAGAGAUAACUAUAAUAUAUAGGUUUUAGCUUUAAGUUUCAACUAAAUAAGACUGUUGUAUAGGAUAUAUAUAUAGAGAGAGAGAGAGAACAUGCAUGUCUAAGUCGUUUCUAUUUUUUUGCUUUUAAAAUACUUAUUUUAGAAAUAAUUUUAAAAAAUUAAUAGAUUUUCAUAAUUUCUGAGUAAUGUUUAAGAUCAUGUUAGAAAAUAAUUUCAUAAAAAAAUGAGAACGGAAUCAAUCAUGCAUCUGGUCUCCAUCUGAAAUUUUUUUCCGCUCAAAGUUAUGAACUGGGGCCUCUGGCUCAACCACUCCUUAUAAUGUUAUGUGUAAAGGAAAACGUGGUUGGAAAUGUCAAGGUUUCCUUAUCAUAUGGGCACUGAUAAAAGUACGUUGAAUAAAAGAGAGGAAAAUAAAGUGUUGCUUUAUUUUUUUUGUUGCUGAGAAUUGAAUUAAUUAUAUAUCCGCGGAUAUGAUAUGACAGGGGUGUGACGCAUCAAUUCUGUUGAACGACACGGAUACGAUCGUGAGCGAGCAAAGUGCAGCGCCAAACAACAACUCCAUAAGAGGUUUGGAUGUUGUGAACCAGAUCAAAACAGCAGUGGAAAAUGCUUGUCCCGGCACAGUUUCUUGUGCUGAUAUUCUUGCUCUUGCAGCUCAAAUAUCUUCUGAUCUGGUAUAUAUAUGAAGAAUUGGUUAAAACAAAUCAUCAUCAAGAAUAUAACUAACUAAAUUUCUUCGUGGAAUUUUAAUCUUAAUAUUGAAACCAUAAGUUCGCAACAAUUUUUGUUCACCUUUUGCAUUCUAUUUUGUCCAACUUAUAGAGUUUUAGUACAACUAUAUAUUUGGCAGGCUAGUGGUCCUGUUUGGGAAGUUCCAUUGGGAAGAAGGGAUAGUUUGACAGCAAAUCAAACCCUUGCUAAUCAAAAUCUUCCAGCUCCUACUUUUACCAUUGAUCAACUUAUCAACUCAUUUGGUAAUCAAAGCCUCAACAUUACUGAUCUAGUUGCACUUUCAGGUAUGAAUUUUUUUACAUAUAAUAAAUAAAAGGUUUUAUAAUGUGUGUUUACAAAUAUAUAUAGCAGGAUUUUUUGGAUUUUGUGUGAAAUAUUUAUUAAUUUUAUCAAAUAAUUAAUAUUUUUGAAAAAUUUAAUUAAUUUUUUCAAGUGUUUUUUCAAAUAAAAUAUUCAAAUGAGACCUAAAUCAGAUAUUUAAAUCUAAUUUCAUUCGAACUAAUAAGAUAAUAUUAAAUAUACCUUGUUAAAUGCAUUAAAUUAUUUAAAUAAGCAAACAUUUAAUGGCAUGAGUUUUUUGUGUGUGUCCAUAUUGCUACUCUUAUUUUAUUAUUUAAACUAAUAGUUUAGAUAAAUUUUAUGAAAUUUGAUUUAGGCAAUGAUGCUAGUUCUCUUUUGAUAUAAAUACAUUAUUUAUUUAUAAAAUUUUAUUGUAUAUUUAGUAUCACGUGUACAGAUUAGAAAACCUUUUAAUUGCAUUAAUUAUUGAAAAUGUUUCUUUUUUUAGGUGCUCAUACAAUUGGUAGAGCUCAAUGUAGAUUUUUUGUUGAUCGAUUAUACAAUUUCAGCAACACCGGCAACCCAGAUCCUACUCUAAACACAACUCUCUUGCAAUCAUUGCAAGGAAUAUGUCCUAAUGGUGGACCUGGCACUAAUCUCACUAAUUUGGACUUAACCACUCCAGACACAUUUGACUCCAACUACUACUCCAAUCUUCAACUUCAAAAUGGCUUGCUUCAGAGUGAUCAAGAGCUGCUUAGCGCAAAUAAUACGGAUAUCGUUGCCAUUGUCAACAAUUUCAUUAUGAACCAAACUCUUUUCUUUGAAAACUUUAAGGCGUCAAUGAGAAAAAUGGGCAACAUUGGAGUGCUAACGGGAUCACAAGGAGAAAUUCGAUCACAAUGUAAUUCUGUGAAUGGAAAUUCUUCUGGACUCACUACUACUGCCACCAAAGAAUCAUCACAAGAUAGCGUGGUUAGCUCAAUGUAAUAAAUUGGCAAAGGUUGUGCUGAAAAAUGCAGAGAUUGAAGGUACUAGCUAAUAAAAAGUUUUGUAUUUGCACAUAUAUGGCAUGUGCAUGGAAACAGAUGCGAUUGAAGAGCGAACAACUGAGCUUCAGAGAAGUCAGACUUUGGGCUUGCUUACUGGCUUUCUUUCAGUGGAUGAUUGGUAUGCUUGAUUUAUAAAUCUACUAUAGCAUUGUGAAGGUAAAAACUGUUAUUAUGACAAGCUGUGUGUUUUUUUUUUUUUUCUCUUUUGGCUUGCUUUAUUUAUUGGUGUCUCCACAAAAAAUGGAUGAGGCUUCCACCUUUCCUCUUAAUGAUAAAACUGCUUUGGAUACUAUGCAAAAAAUAAAGAAUAUAUUAAUCUAUUUAGAUAUAUAACGGGUUUUACUUUCUUAACAAUAAAAACUGGUUCCAUUGUGUGUGGAGAUAUUUGUCAUUCUUCCAUGAAUUCACACACUUAUUAUUUACAUGGUGACUUAGUCGAUGGACUGAUGGUUCUCAAACUUUAUGGAUUUUUGCUGAAGAUUUUAUUCCUUCACAUUAAGUGCUAUCAUUUAUUUCCUUUCCUACGUGCCGUGCCAAUUUUAUUCCCGCAAUUUGAUUGACGUUACCGCCAAUUUCUGAGGAGGUCUGAAUUAAAUCUAGGCUAGUUGAUAAUAGGUGACACUGUUCAUUCUCGUCAGUUUUUUAUUCUCUUCUUACAAACUAUUGCAAAGAAGUUUCUAUAGUACAAGGGAAGAAAAACGUUAAACUUUUCAUCUAACAAUGAGAAAAAUGUGAAGUUAGUCGUGAUGCUUGGAAUUAUGGAGUGUUAUGUCAAGGAAAGUAUUUUAAGUUAUUUUCUAUUUCCUUUAAUUAUGUAUAUAAAAAAGUUUUUUUGACAUAAUUAUAUGUCUAUGUUUAUAUAUAUAUGAUAAGUUGAUAACAUUUUAUUAGAAUUCAUAUAAAAAUUUUGUAAUUAUAAUUUUCUAUUAUUUUAUUAGAAUUUUUAUUAUUAUUUUAUUAGAAUUUUUAAUUUUUUUUAAAAAAAAUAUAUUCUAAAACGAUUAUUUAAAAAAUCAUCUUAAAAUCUUUAAAUUCUUUUUAAAAAAAUUCUAAAAUAGUUUUCUAAAAAAAAGAAUUUUUAAGAUUAUUUUCUGAAAAAUCGUCUUAAAAUUCUCUUUUUUUAAAAUAAUUUUUAAGAUGAUUUUUUAUAAAAUUAUCAUUAAAAAUCUUAAUUUUUGACGACGUUAAUUUUAAACCUUCUUUAUAUGUCAUUUAAAAUCGUUGUUAUGCUUAUAAACUAUGUACUUUUUAGCUUUUUUAUUUUUAUAGCAAAACUUUGGUUUCCAAUUUAUAUAUAUAUAUAUAUAUAUAUAUGCAUUUGAGUAAUGAAGAGUAUUUGAUAACUUUAAGUUUUACAAGAUAUUUUUAAUGUAGCAUUACAUAGUGGCGAUUUUCUGACAAUGUGUUUGAUUUUUUUUCUUCUUUACUGGGGCCACCCCUUCACUAAUGCAAAAUACCUGGACAACCAACACAUCUCCACUCUUGGCAGCCACAGCAUCUGCUCCACGCCAGAUCUAGAAGCCUUCGGAAUUAGACACACUCAUCUUAGUACGAGCAAGAAUGACACCAAACAAGAGUGUCCAGGUGUUAAAUAUGCUCCAUGAGAUGAUUCAGAGUUAUGGUUCAUUUUGUAUCACCUAUCAACCCAACCUUUUCCGAAUUAUAUACUGUCGUGAUUCCUAUUCUUAAGCUAUGUCACUCCAAAGAUUGAAGGGAUUGGGAAAUUUGGAUUGUAGCAACUAAUUAACUUGGGACAAAAAAAAAUGAUGAUGCAAGCAACUUUUUCAGUGAUGAUGUGUGGAGGCAUUAUCUAUUUCCUGAAUCCUGACAAAGAACACAGAUAUCCAGCAGAAUCAAAAAGUUGAUGAUUAUACGAGAAAGAAUCAAGGAGACUACAAAUCUAGAGAAUCCAAUUCUAUUUAUAUUUUUUGGUCCAAUGAUGAGAAUCUAAUUCUUGAAAUAAGAUUGCAUGAGUCUUUUGUGUGUAAAUGGAGCUUUUAUGUUUUUGGCAUGGGCUUUCACUUUUGUCAGUUUUGUGCGUCAUGUUUUCGGGCUUUUGCAUAUCGUAGUGGUUUUCUAUUUAUUUAUUUUUACUUAAUUUUGUUCACUUAACUUAGAUUCAUAGAUUGUAUAUGAUUUUAGUCAUUUGAGUUUUUUUUUAACUAGUUGCCUCACAAUAAUUUUUUAUUUAAUAUAUUAAAACCAUGGGGUUGAUAUCAUUAAUUGCUGACCUGAUAUUUAACAGUUUAUUAAAAUUAUGAUUCAACACCCAACUAAUUUAACUUGGUGAGGAUUCCUGAAAAGUUGAAACCUAAUUAUUUCUUGAUAAUGACCUAAUUUGUUGAUUGUUUGUUUGUAUAGAAAUGAAGUGGAAAGAAAUAAGAAGCAGAAAGAUAGGAUAAAAAUAUUAAAUUUUUACCAUUUGUUUGGAAAAAAAAGGAAAGGAGUUAUUUUCAUGGCAUGGGAUCUAUUAGAAAACAUCCUCCCUCCCCAAAUCUUCAUUUUCUUUUCUUUUUGUUAAUUUCUUAAAAUUAAAUAAAUAUCUAUAGCGUAAUUUUUUUUAAAAUUAAUAAAUAAGUAUUAUGAUAAGAAAAAAAUAAUGGAACAAAACAAUACAGUUGUUAAUUAGUAUAACAAUAUUUUCAUAUAAUUUCUCUAUUGACACUGGUAUUUGUACUUCUCAAAAUGUUCACCCAACGUCUACCUAACAAUUAUGGUUAAUUAUAUGUAUGUAAAUAUGAUUAAUUUUAUUUUAAGUGUAAUUAACUAUUAUUAAAUAUUUCAAUAAUUACAUGACACUAUUAAUCACAUGUAAUACAAAGUUAAUCAUAUAUAUAUAUAUAUAUAUAUAUAUAUAUAUAUAUAAUUGAACACGUUUGAUAGUCAAUAAUUUUAUAACAUUAUUAACCACUUAUAAAAUAAAAUUAACUAUAAUCAUAUUUUCAAGCACUCACCAAGUAUACAAUUUUCAGUGGAACAAAUAUCAUUUUUCUUUCUCUAUUUUUUUUUCUUCUUAUUUCUCUCCAUUCAAAGAACAAAUCCUCUAUGCUUUAUUUCUCUUCUUUCUGUUUCUUUCCUCAAUAUUUCACUUAAUCAAAGCAUAAAGGUCAUUGAUAUGGGUAGAAAAUGUGCGUUAGUUGUUCUUAUGAUAUACCUGAGAUUUUUUUAAUCUUUUUUUGUACAUUUUUCUAGUGUACUUUAAUUGAGCUUGGUUUGUGGUAUUAAUUAUUUUCUCACAUUAGAAUUGACCCCAAGUGAAUUCCAACUCCAUAUAAGAUGAAAUGUUUCGGCAAUUACAAAUUAACGAGAAACUGAAUAAUGCAUUAUCAAAGAAUUAAUCAUCUCAUAUUAUUAAAGAAUCAGUACUUAAUCUGUUAUUACAAGUAAUAUUCGCAGCAAAGUCUUUGUGCCUUGUUAAAGCCAAACAAAUAAUGGCACAAUUAGUCAAUUCAAAUGUGGUGUAUGUGUAUCAUGGAAGUUUCUUACAUAAUUAUUAGUAUUAUAAUAAUAAAAAAAUGUAACAACUCUUCAUACUCCAAUGCCUAAAAUAUUAAUUUAGCUAGAAAACUAAAGCAUACGUGGGUGUGACCCGGCGAAAGUGGAUCUGCUUACUUCAGGUUUUAACUAAAAGAAGACAAUCGAACAAACUAUAGAUAAGAAGACCAAAAGUAGUCAAUGCACAAGAGAUAAAAAAAAUACUAUUUAUACAAUUUUUUUACAAUAUUAUGUUGUGAAUUAAUGUUUUUACUGUCUUUUUUUGUUGGUAUGGGAGAAAUAAGUUUACUGCCAUUCAAAUUAUGAAAACAAAUUAUUAUACAUAUUAGGCUUAAAUGAAAUUUUAUUUUUUUUAUUUUUUAAAAAUCUAUAAUUUUAGUUCAUUAUUUUAAAUUAGAGACAUUUUAUUAAAAUCUUUAAUUUUAGUCUUUUAUUUUAAAAUAAAGACAUUUAAUCUUCUAAUUUUAUAAAAUUCAUAAUUUUAAUAUUUCAAAUUCAAAAAAUAUUGAUCGAUAAAAAAUUAAGUUAAUACGAUCGAAAUUUAAUAAUAUAAUAUCAGAUUAUUUAUUUAAUUUAUGUCUAGUCAAUGUUAAUCCGUUAAAAUUUGAUAUUUUCAUUUUUGAUGAAAAAAUCAAAAUCAUAAAUUUUAUAAAAAUAAAAAAGUAAAUAUCAUUAUUUUAUAAUAAAAAGAAUAAAAUUAUGGGUUUUGAAAAUAAUAAAAAAAGGAUUAAAUGAGUCUAUUUUAAUAUUAAAAAAAUAAAAUUACAAAAUUUUAAAAUUCAAAUAAUCAAAAUUACAUUUAAACAUCUAUAUUAUAUUAAAACAUUUGUGCGGGAAAACUGAAGCCUAUAAACGAUGAUGUCACGUGCAGGACAACUUGGUGUGAGGAAAACUGAAGCCUAUAAACGAUAUUUAAUUAUAUUUAAUUCUUUUAGUAGUGAUCGAUAUGCAUUGACUUGGUAAUAGAAAUGAGUUGAUUAAGAAUUGCAAUAAGGACACAGUGGACUUGGAUUAUAUAAAUGGGUGGUGUACACAUUAAUUAUCAUUGCACCUUCCUUCGUAAAGUGGCUCUUAACUAAACAUAAUCCUAUCUAUUAUAUAUAAAUACUUAAAUGAUCAUCAUUUAAAAAAUACAUGAUUUUGUACUAGAUAACGUGCCUGAGAAGAAGUUGUCUUGUUCAAUUCAUUGGCAUUCGUCUAUCACAAUAUUCACAAAGCAAGGCCAUUUUGUCUCUAUAAAUAAAGGCAAGUUAUGUGGUGAGUUUCAUAGCAGCAACAUACACAAACACAAACACAAACACACGUGUCGAGUGAAUUCAAAUCAAUUUAGGCAGAAAAUGAGGUGUUUUGGUUUUAUAGUGAUAGGUCUAGUGGCUGUGCUUGGAGGGUUACCCUUCUCCUCAAAUGCAAAAUUAGAACCCUGUUUUUACAAGAAGACUUGUCCCCAGGUGCAUUUUAUUGUAUUUAAAGUCGUAGAGAAAGUUUCAAGAACGGAUCCACGUAUGCCUGCCAGUCUCGUUAGGCUUUUCUUCCAUGACUGUUUUGUUCAAGUAUGUAAAUUUACUUGCUUAUUCAUCCUCCCUUUCUAUCUAAUUUAGUUAAUCCUUUCCUGCUUUAAAUGACAAAUCCCACAAUUAAAAUCAAAAUAAAUCCCUUGCUCCAAUUUUAUUUUUUUUAUCUCUGAGUGGGUUUAUUAGUCUCAAAUAAUUAAGCUCGUAGUAUUUUGAAUUCUUUUAUCACUUUAGGUACUCUUUUUCCAUUUAAAACAUUUAAUGAGUCAUAUUUGAGUUUGAUUUUCAUGUAUUGUUGGUAUAAAAUUGUUUAUACUAUUAACCAAACAAAAAUAAUUUAGGUAUGACUUUUAACUUAGUUAUUAUGUAAAAAAAAAAAAAAACUUAGUUAUUAUAGGUAAGUUUGUUUAAGUUUAUUUUAAAGAAAAAUCCUUAUUUUAAUAAAAUAAAUCAUUUUAUACUUUAUGAUCUGCCUGUCUAACUGUUUUUACUUUUUCUUUACAACCACAGCUCCUCUGUAAUUUAAAUUCGUUAUAUUUUGCUAUUAGACAUUCAAAUAAUGCAUGAGAUCAUAAAAGCAGGGAACACCUUGUUUAUUUCAACAAAAUCCCACAACAGAACGCGACCUUAUAAAAAUUAUACCCGAAUUUUAUUUUAUUUUUUAAAGAAAAAACGUUUGUCUCGUCUCAAAUUAAAAGUAAGUGGUUUGGAUUUUGGAAUGUCGAAAAUUUCUAGUGGGAACUACACAAAUGUUCAAGAAAAGAAAUUGAUUCUUACUUCGUCAUGUGUAUUUGUUGAGAAUGAACAAGAAAUGAAUUAUGUUGUUUAUGCUUGUGGCAUGCAGGGGUGUGAUGCAUCAAUUUUGUUGAACAACACUGCCACCAUAGUGAGUGAGCAACAAGCUCUGCCAAACAACAACUCAAUAAGAGGUUUGGAUGUUGUAAACCAGAUCAAGACAGAGUUGGAAAAAGCUUGCCCUGGCGUAGUUUCUUGCGCUGAUAUUCUUACCCUUGCAGCUGAAGUAUCUUCUGUUCUGGUAUGUCUCAUUUUAGGUCAAAGAAAAAAACUUAGAUCAACUUCUUUUGUUACAUCCUUUUUUAUCAAGUUGUCCAAUCAAAUAACAACAAAUAAAUGUUUAUAUAUUGCAACAUAUAUUUAAUAGAGGUUGUUUAUUAUUAGAAAGAAUAUUCAUGUAUCAUUUGACAGGCUCAUGGUCCUUAUUUGAAAUUUCCCUUGGGAAGGAGGGAUAGUUUAACAGCAAAUAGAACCCUUGCGAAUCAAAACCUUCCUGCUCCUUUCUUCAACCUCACUCAACUUAAAGCUGCCUUUGCUGUUCAAGGCCUUGACACUACCGAUCUUGUUGCACUCUCAGGUAAUAAAUAUUCCCCAAUUCAAAUUAUCCUAUGUGUUGCAACAAUUAAUGCUACCUAUAAUAACAACAACAAUAAAACACCUAUAGUUGAUCCGAGUAGAAUUGGACUCAGAUCCUUUAAAUAAGAUCUCGAGUUUAAAUCUUAUAAAAAAAAUAUGAUUAAAAAGAAAAAUGUCACUAUUCUUAAUAGGGAUUAGAUAUUAAAAAAAAAUGAUGAAUACUUCGUAGUUCGCAUCAAUAUCACACUAAUGAAAAAAAAAUCUUAGAAAUUCAGGGUAAGAUAUAAGAUAUUGGAUUUACUGGUGAACACAUUAACAUUACUCUAAAUUCACCAUCUUAACUUGGUUUGACUUUGGAAGAAUUCAUCUUAUGAAAAUGAUGGACUAGUAUAUGAUUUGUAUAUGAUUCAAUUUCAGGAGCUCAUUCAUUUGGCAGAGUUCGCUGCUUAUUCAUUCUUGACCGAUUGUACAAUUUCAGUGGUACUGGCAGACCCGAUCCAACUCUUGACACAACUUACUUAAAACAAUUGCGCCAAAUAUGCCCCCAAGGUGGGCCCCCUAACAACCUUGUCAAUUUUGACCCAACCACUCCUGAUACAUUGGACAAGAACUACUACUCCAAUCUUCAGGUUAAGAAGGGUUUGCUUCAGAGUGAUCAAGAGUUGUUCUCAACACCUGGUGCUGAUACCAUCAGCAUUGUCAACAAAUUCAGUAGUGACCAAAUAGCUUUCUUUAAGAGCUUUUCGGCUUCCAUGAUUAAAAUGGGAAAUAUUGGUGUGCUAACUGGGAAGAAAGGAGA
rnacentral:lncRNA from 1 species